ACCAAUCAACCAAUCAACCAGUUACCGACUAUCAACGGGUCUUUUAGAGUUUUCAGAUCGAUCGCGACCUUCGACUUCGGCGAAGUUGUUCUUCUUGUCUCGUCUUGGCGCUCCCACGCGCCAUCUCUCUCUCUCUUUCGUUUGAUUUGAUCUGUUUCUAUCUCUUUUUCUCUCUUGUUAACGGCGCGGCGCGCGCCCCUGACGCACGCGAGUGCCUCGGACUCGACCUCCCUCGACGUCCGAGAUAAAUCUUCCUCAAGUCAAAGAACUCUCUCUCUCUCCCUCUCUCUCUCUCUCUUUCUCUCUCUCUCUCUCUCUCUUUGUGAAUGUUGUAUUUACUUUUAUGUAUCUUUUAAAAGAUUAUCACGUACAAAUUCUUCAUGUACAUGUUAAAUUGUUCAAGCAACAUUUUAUCAACAAAUAUCGAGAUUCUUCUUUAUUUUUCUGAUCUUAGAAAAGAGUUAGGAGGGUUGACCUUCGUGCUCUUUCCUCGCGCGGUCGUUGCACUUUAAAUGGAAGAAACGCGUAGUCAUCGCGAGGAAUUCUCAAAGGAAGGAAAGGCCAACGAUAGUGAAAAGAAGAAAGGAGGUUAACGUGACAAUCAACAACAA
rnacentral:lncRNA from 1 species